rnacentral:rRNA from 1 species
CCUACGGGACGCACCAGUGGGGAAUAUUGCACAAUGGGCGCAAGCCUGAUGCAGCCAUGCCGCGUGUGUGAAGAAGGCCUUCGGGUUGUAAAGCACUUUCAGCGGGGAGGAAGGCGGUGAGGUUAGUAACCUCAUCGAUUGACGUUGCCCGCAGAAGAAGCACCGGCUAACUCCGUGCCAGCAGCCGCGGUAAUACGGAGGGUGCAAGCGUUAAUCGGAAUUACUGGGCGUAAAGCGCACGCAGGCGGUCUGUCAAGUCGGAUGUGAAAUCCCCGGGCUCAACCUGGGAACUGCAUUCGAAACUGGCAGGCUAGAGUCUUGUAGAGGGGGGUAGAAUUCCAGGUGUAGCGGUGAAAUGCGUAGAGAUCUGGAGGAAUACCGGUGGCGAAGGCGGCCCCCUGGACAAAGACUGACGCUCAGGUGCGAAAGCGUGGGGAGCAAACAGGAUUAGAUACCCUCGUAGUC